rnacentral:lncRNA from 1 species
GAAAUUGCAACAUCAAGCUUCAGAAGCUACUACCCAGACAGAGAAAUUUUCAUCACCACUCAAAACAAUAAUGUGGAUACUAGCCAACAAAGAACCCCUCUACGGAUGGCACAACCCGAUAACGUUUUAGAGGACGAGUCAUCAGCUAACGCCCCGCAAGACGAAACUUCCGAGCAAAGAAACCAAAGAAGGGCAGGAAAACUACUCGGGCUGAACGUCGACAACUACUAGCCACAAACAUUCCUAUCACAAACCUUGAAAGAGCAUUUGACGCAGUACAAGCCCAAGAACACAACACUCCACUCGCAGCAAUUGCCUCAAUCAAUCUUAUAUCAACUCUCAUACCUCAAGAUAGAGAUAACGAAAAAAUAGCUCAACUUGCACAGCGAGGCAAUGGACUAAUCGCACAACUCGUAGAACAAGCUUACAAACUACUCGAUAAAGAAUCACCAAUCCCGUCUGUUC